rnacentral:rRNA from 1 species
GACGAACGCUGGCGGCGUGCUUAACACAUGCAAGUCGAGCGGUAAGGCCCUUUCGGGGGUACACGAGCGGCGAACGGGUGAGUAACACGUGGGUGACCUGCCCUUAGCUCUGGGAUAAGCCUGGGAAACUGGGUCUAAUACCGGAUAUGACUCCAUGACGCAUGUUGUGGGGUGGAAAGCCUUGUGCGGCUAGGGAUGGGCCCGCGGCCUAUCAGCUUGUUGGUGGGGUGANGGCCUACCAAGGCGACGACGGGUAGCCGGCCUGAGAGGGCGACCGGCCACACUGGGACUGAGACACGGCCCAGACUCCUACGGGAGGCAGCAGUGGGGAAUCUUGCGCAAUGGGCGAAAGCCUGACGCAGCGACGCCGCGUGAGGGAUGACGGCCUGGUGUAA